CCGGCAGGGCAGACUCGCCGCUACCCGCCAGCGCACCGUGCGUGCAGCCGGGACCCCUGGGUGCCCCCCAGGAGGGCACGGAGGCCACCUGUCGCGCCCCCCCACCCCCCAUCCCGUGUGCCCGCACUGUUGCGUAACUGGGAGGGACAAAGGUGAAGGCGGGUCUGUGGGUAGAGGCCCUGGCGGUUUGUGUCGGUCCUCCAGUGAGCCCUGUGCUUCUCAUCUGGUCCCCACGGCUGUCCAGGGAGACCGCUUUCCCGCGCUUCUUUCACGCGCAAAAGGCAACCGAGGCUGAGAGAAGCCCCCAAACUUGCCUUGGUAAGCAAGCGCCAGAGCAGCGCUCUCAACCCCAGGAUGGAGGUCACGGUGAGCAGGUUUCCAGACACUAAUCUCCACGCCACGUUGGGUCCAACUUUCAUGAAUUUUCAACUGGCUGUUCUUUCUAAGCAGGUGUGAAGCGCAGUGAACUUUUUAAGGUGAAAUCCUCGCAAACCAAAAAUUGAGGCAAUCACAGAGAAGUAGGAGCCUAAUAAAGUUGAACUUCUGAGCUCCUCCCUCUGGUUUUGUCUUGUUGGGUUUAUCUAUUGAGACAGAAAAGGAUCCUCUGCCUUCAUUCAGAAGUGAUCUCGUCCCAGCUCCCUCAUUGUGCGAGGUAACAGACCUUAGGAUUCUUCUGAGCCCAGGAUGAGGUAGUUAAAGGCUACAAACGUCUCAUCCGAGAUGAAUGCUUUUCCCUGAUGCUGCCACUGCACCAAGCAGAUGGACCGAUACCAUCAUCAAGUGAAAACAACAGCCCGCAAGCCUACGUUCACUGACUGCCAUGGAAUAAAAGGUGUCUCAUGAUGUGAACGCUGGAAGAGUCAGGGAUCCUAUCUGCAUGUUUACCCCUGACAGGA